ACUCAAAUGAAUUGACGGGGGCCCGCACAAGCGGUGGAUCAUGUGGUUUAAUUCGAAGCAACGCGAAGAACCUUACCUGGGUUUGACAUCUCCGGACCGACGUAGAGAUACGUUUUUUGUAGCAAUACAACCGGAAGACAGGUGCUGCAUGGCUGUCGUCAGCUCGUGUGGUGACAUGUUGGGUUAAGUCCCGCAACGAGCGCAACCCUUGUCUUUAGUUGCCAGCAUUAAGUUGGGCACUCUAGAGAGACUGCCGUGGUUAACACGGAGGAAGGUGGGGAUGACGUCAAGUCCUCAUGGCCUUUAUAUCCAGGGCGACACACGUGAUACAAUGGUUGGUACAGAGGGAAGCGAAAUGGUGACAUGGAGCUAAUCUCAAAAAGCCAAUCUCAGUUCGGAUUGGAGUCUGCAAUUCGACUCCAUGAAGUUGGAAUCGCUAGUAAUCGCGGAUCAGAACGCCGCGGUGAAUACGUUCCCGGGCCUUGCACACACCGCCCGU
rnacentral:rRNA from 1 species